rnacentral:misc_RNA from 1 species
AAAUUACAGUAAAUAUUACUAUUCAUGUUGAGCACAAAUAGUUAUGUCAAAGAAUAGAUCUAUAUCUUAGCAUACAAGCUGAGGGGUGGGGGAGAGGGGAAGAAAACAGCAUUUUUCAGAACAAUGGUGUGUUUAAGAACAAUGGUAUGCACAGCUUCAUGUGCGGCUUGAACGGGGCUCUCCUGCAUUUCCAGAUAAAGAAAUUAUUUGGUUCACACAGUGACAUGCCGAACAGCUGACUUCUUAGCCCUGCUUUUCUCUCAUUAACUCGACAAAAUUGUCCAGGAUUAGUGGCCAAGCAAGGGUCGAGUCAUAAUUGCUCAAGUCUGGAAAACUUAUCUCGUUAACAAACCUAAAGAAUCCCAUCCAUUGAUCCAUGUUUAUAACCUUGUAAUCAACCUGCAUUCUCAAAUACUGAAUCAGAGCAUCAACUUGGGGCCGAAAUUGAGACCCUAAAACGAGAUCCAGCAGGAGACAAAUGCUCUCAAUGUCUAUGCUCUUCUGCUUCUCCUCUGUCAAGCAGUACUGAAAUGCAUAGGAGUAAAAAUCCACAAAAUUUGAUGGCCUUCUAACCUCCUUCUCAAGUUCUGGAAGUGCUUUUUUCAAUUUCUGUACUGUGUCAGCUCUUAAUGCUUUGAGGCCUUUCCGCCACUCGUUCAGGGAAAAGUAUCCUUGUUUUUCAGACUGCAUUUUCCAUGCAAGCAUCAAUAUCCUGACGUCAGUAUGUUCGACUUCCAAAUCAGAACAAAGAAACUCAAUUCCUUCAGGGUCAAUCAUACCAGACGAAGAACUUGCAUAUGUAUGAAAUAAUUGAUCGAUACGUUCUAGCUCCUUACUUGCUGCUUUACUUGAAGCAGAACGAAACAAAUCGGCGGCAGGAUUGGUGGAUGCUGCAGAACCAGUUGAACCCUUUUUGGAAGAAGUACGAGGCAUCUUAAGCGAAGAAGAAAAAGAAAAAAGUUGGUGUAGAGAAGAUGAU